rnacentral:rRNA from 1 species
GACGAACGCUGGCGGCGUGCUUAACACAUGCAAGUCGAACGAAGAGCGAUGGAAGCUUGCUUCUAUCAAUCUUAGUGGCGAACGGGUGAGUAACGCGUAAUCAACCUGCCCUUCAGAGGGGGACAACAGUUGGAAACGACUGCUAAUACCGCAUACGAUCUGACCUCGGCAUCGAGGAUGGAUGAAAGGUGGCCUCUAUUUAUAAGCUAUCACUGAAGGAGGGGAUUGCGUCUGAUUAGCUAGUUGGAGGGGUAACGGCCCACCAAGGCGAUGAUCAGUAGCCGGUUUGAGAGGAUGAACGGCCACAUUGGGACUGAGACACGGCCCAGACUCCUACGGGAGGCAGCAGUGGGGAAUCUUCCGCAAUGGACGAAAGUCUGACGGAGCAACGCCGCGUGAGUGAUGACGGCCUUCGGGUUGUAAAGCUCUGUUAAUCGGGACGAAAGGCCUUCUUGCGAAUAGUUAGAAGGAUUGACG